CAAUAGCGUAUAUUUAAGUUGCUGCAGUUAAAAAGCUCGUAGUUGGAUUUCGGGUGGGAAUGGCCGGUCCGCCGUUUCGGUGUGCACUUGCUACGCCCACCUUGCUGCCGGGGACGUGCUCUUGAGUUCACGCUCGGGACACGGAGUCGGCGAGGUUACUUUGAAAAAAUUAGAGUGCUCAAAACAAGCGAUUCGCUUGAAUAUUCGUGCAUGGAAUAAUAGAAUAGGUCCUUGGUUCUAUUUUGUUGGUUUUCGGAGCACAAGGAAAUGAUUAAGAGGGACAGACGGGGGCAUUCGUACUCCGACGUUAGAGGUGAAAUUCUUGGAUCGUCGGAUGACGCACUACUGCGAAAGCAUUUGCCAAGAAUGUUUUCAUUAA
rnacentral:rRNA from 1 species